UGGGGAAUAUUGCACAAUGGGCGCAAGCCUGAUGCAGCCAUGCCGCGUGUAUGAAGAAGGCCUUCGGGUUGUAAAGUACUUUCAGUCGGGAGGAAGGUGUCAAGGUUAAUAACCUUGGCAAUUGACGUUACCGACAGAAGAAGCACCGGCUAACUCCGUGCCAGCAGCCGCGGUAAUUCGGAGGGUGCAAGCGUUAAUCGGAAUUACUGGGCGUAAAGCGCACGCAGGCGGUUGAUUGAGUCAGAUGUGAAAUCCCCGGGCUUAACCCGGGAAUUGCAUCUGAUACUGGUCAGCUAGAGUCUUGUAGAGGGGGGUAGAAUUCCAUGUGUAGCGGUGAAAUGCGGAGAGAUGUGGAGGAAUACCGGUGGCGGAGGCGGCCCCCUGGACAAAGACUGACGCUCAGGUGCGAAAGCGUGGGGAGCAAACAGG
rnacentral:rRNA from 1 species